GUGCUGUCUUUGGCAGUACAUAUAUUAAGAUUAUAAUGAUACAGAGAAGAUUAGCAUGUCCCCAUGCAAGGAUGACACAAAAUUCAUGGAGCAUUCUACAGUUAAA